UACGUAGGGUGCGAGCGUUAAUCGGAAUUACUGGGCGUAAGCGUGCGUAGGCGGUUCGUUAAGUCAGCUGUGAAAGCCCCGGGCUCAACCUGGGAACUGCGGUUGAAACUGGCGAACUAGAAUCUGGCAGAGGGGGGUGGAAUUCCACGGUGUAAGCAGUGAAAUGCGUAGAGAUGUGGAGGAACACCGAUGGCGAAGGCAGCCCCCUGGGCUGAGAUUGACGCUCAGGCACGAAAGCGUGGGGAGCAAACAGG
rnacentral:rRNA from 1 species